rnacentral:misc_RNA from 1 species
GAAGAAAGUGGUGGAAGCAAGGGGGAUUCAAUUGAUGAGGUAGUGAGUUGUGGAGAUGCUGGAGGAUACUGCAUAGUUGAUGCACCUUCGGAGCACCAACAAUAGUAAGGAGAGACAAGAGNNUGACCUAAGGAAGGUACAUAUGAUGCCGAGCUCAAAGUCGGGGAGAAGGCCAAUUUCCCUAGGGAUUCAAGAAAAGUUGAUGGCGCCACAGGACAACUCUUAGUUGC